UACGUAGGGGGCAAGCGUUGUCCGGAUUUAUUGGGCGUAAAGAGCGUGUAGGCGGCCUGACAGGUCUGCUGUGAAAACUCGAGGCUCAACCUCGAGAUGUUGGCGGAAACCGUCUGGCUAGAGUCCGGAAGAGGAGAGUGGAAUUCCUGGUGUAGCGGUGAAAUGCGCAGAUAUCGGGAGGAACACCAAUGGCGAAGGCAGCUCGCUGGGACGGUACUGACGCUGAGACGCGAAAGCGUGGGGAGCAAACAGG
rnacentral:rRNA from 1 species